rnacentral:rRNA from 1 species
AACGAACGCUGGCGGCAUGCCUAACACAUGCAAGUCGAACGAGACCUUCGGGUCUAGUGGCGCACGGGUGCGUAACGCGUGGGAACCUGCCCUUAGGUUCGGAAUAACUCCCCGAAAGGGGUGCUAAUACCGGAUAAUGUCUUCGGACCAAAGAUUUAUCGCCUUUGGAUGGGCCCGCGUUGGAUUAGCUAGUUGGUAGGGUAAAAGCCUACCAAGGCGACGAUCCAUAGCUGGUCUGAGAGGAUGAUCAGCCACACUGGGACUGAGACACGGCUCAGACUCCUACGGGAGGCAGCAGUGGGGAAUAUUGGACAAUGGGCGAAAGCCUGAUCCAGCAAUGCCGCGUGAGUGAUGAAGGCCUUAGGGUUGUAAAGCUCUUUUACCCGGGAUGAUAAUGACAGUACCGGGAGAAUAAGCUCCGGCUAACUCCGUGC